GAAUAUAUAUGUGCAAUGGAAUACUAUUCAGCCAUAAAAGGAAUAAAAUCAUGUGUUUUGCAGCAACAUAAAUAGAACUGGAGGCCCUUAAGUGAAAUAAUUCAGAAAGUGAAAUGCCAUAUGUUCUCAUAAGUGGGAACUAAAUAAUGUGUACACAUGAACAAAGAAUGUGGAAUCUCACUGGAGACCUGGAAGGGUGGGAGAGUGGAAGAAGAGUGAGGGAUAAGAAUUUACUUAAUGGGUAUAAUGUGCAGUAUUUUGGUAAUGAUUACACUAAAAGUCCAUACUUCACCACUAUGCAACAUAUCCAUGUAACAAAACUGCACUUGUACACCUUAAAUUUAUACCAAAAAAGGACUGUGUGGUCAUAUAAAUAAAUGAAGCAGAACUGAGAGUUCACAAAUAAGUUUUUACCUUUAUGGCAAAUUGAUCAUCAAUUUUAAUCAAAUUUACUAAUUUAAUCAAAAUUACUAAGGUAAUUCAUUGGGGGAAAGAGAGUCUUUUGAACAAAUUGUGCUGAAACAAUUGAAUAUCCACAUGCAAAAAAAAGUUAACUUAGACACCUCACACUAAACACAAAAAUUAACCUUUACACAUCUCAAACCAAACAAAAAUCAACCUGAAAUGGAUCACAGACCUAAAUGUGAGAGCUAAAACUGUAAAAUUUCUAAGAUAAAAUAUAGCAGAAUAUCUUUAUGACUUAGGUUGAGGAGAGUUCUGAGAUACAACUUUAAAAGCAUGAUUCAUAAAAGAAAUAAAUUGUACUUCAUCAAAAUUUAAAAUUUUGCACUUUGAAACACUUUUUUUUGGGAGGGAAAAAGACAAGCAGCAGACUGGGAGAAAAUAAUUGCAAAUCAUAUAUCUGACGAAGACACUGGAUCCGGAAUAUAUAAAGAACUACUUCAACUUAAUAAGAAGAUGACAAUUCAAAUUUUAAAAUGAGAAAAAUAUUUAAAUCAGCAUUUUAUCCAAAAAGAUAGGUGAAUGGCUAACAAGCACAUGAAAAAUGUUUAACAUUAUUAGUAAUAAGAAAAUUAAAACCACAAUGGCAUAACAACACUCACCAGAAUGGCUAUAAUAAAAAAAAAAGAUCUGUUGGUAAGAAUGUGGAGAACUUUGUCUCCUAAGCACUAUUAGAUUAAGGGAGAGUUCCCUUGCCUUGUAAGUCUUCACUCUAACUCCCCAGCCUCCCAUACAUAGCCCCAGUAUUCAGCAAGUGUCAUUUAAGAGAGUGGAUGCUGUGGUUGCACCACCUAGAUCCUGCCUUGGGUCUGAAACACUCAUUCCUCCAGAUGCCAUUGUCAGCUGAGGGCCACCAGCUGCAUCGCUCUCUAGGAAUUGCCCUCGACUGAAGGUGAAUGCUUCACCCAAGAUUAUGCCAUCAUCCCCAAGGGAAGCCUACAGGCAAUGACUGGUUGAUUCAAGGGCCCAAAGGCCAGAUUCCUAGCCUCAAUUGAGAACAUCUCUAAAUAGCCAUCCCAUCCUCAGAGCUCCCUAUGAGACUGGCUGAGGCUACUGUUGCAACUGCUAUGUAUCACCAUUCAACUUCUUAUGCCCUAUCCUGUUUCUCUUGCUCCCCCAUAGAUGUUCUCUGAGAAGACACCCCAGUAAUCCUCUGGAUGCGAAUCUCAGAUUCAGUGUCUAUUUCCUGAGGAACCCAACUUAUAACACGUAGAAGAAACUGGCCAAAGUUCUUAAUUUUCCAAUUUGUUGCACCAGCCCCACGUGACCACCAAAAGCUUUUCUGGGUUUCCCUUUCCCUCAGGAGAGACCCUCUUCACAGACCAAGCUUGAUCCUUAUUAGUCCAUGUCCAGAAUCAGUAAAUGUCCCUAGAAAAUAAAAUGGCCACUUACCUCAGGAGGACUCCUCCCUCUCUGGAAUUCCCAUUCACCUAGUCCUUAUUGCUUUCAUAGCUCUCACAUAUCUUUAAAUAUGAUCUUUAUAAUUUUUCCAUCUUUUUCUAGUUGUUGCAGGCAAAGUUUUAGGCUGCCAUGACCUACUAUAUCCUAUUUAGAAGUGGAAGUCUCUAGAGAGAUUUUCAAAAUUACAGAUGUGUGGAUAUUAGCUUUUCUCCUAAUUUAAUUGAAUUGUGGUGAGAGAAGGUGUUCUGUAUUAUUCAAAUAGCUUAAAAUUUGCUGAAAUGGGUUUAUAAUCAAAUAUAUGGUCAAAUUUAAUAGUUCAUGUACUCUUAUAAAUAUGUAUUCUCCCAUUGUUGGAUGCAAUGCCCUUUGUAUGUUCAUGGGAUCAAGUUUGUUGACUGUUUUGUGUAAAUCUAUAUGCAAAAUCUUGAUUUUUGUCUACUUGAUCUGCUUCUGAAAGAGGAACAAUAAAACUUCCCACUGCUACGGUAAACUUGCC
rnacentral:lncRNA from 10 species